AUGGCCGAUUUAAAGCGAUAGAUUUUUAAUCUAUUUAAGAUUUAUUAAUCU
rnacentral:tRNA from 1 species